rnacentral:rRNA from 1 species
AUACGGAGGGCGCGAGCGUUAUCCGGAUUUAUUGGGUUUAAAGGGUGCGCAGGCGGCAUGUCAAGUCAGCGGUCAAAAUGCGGCGCUCAACGCCGUACCGCCGUUGAAACUGGCGCGCUGGAGUUUGUGCGAGGAUGGCGGAAUGCGCGGUGUAGCGGUGAAAUGCAUAGAUAUCGCGCAGAACCCCGAUUGCGAAGGCAGCUGUCCAGCACACUACUGACGCUCAUGCACGAAAGCGUGGGUAUCGAACAGGAUUAGAUACCCUGGUAGUCCACGCGGUAAACGAUGAUAACUAGUUAUCCGGCCCGAUUGGGGGUUGGGUGACCGAGCGAAAGCGUUAAGUUAUCCACCUGGGGAGUACGCCGGCGACGGUGAAACUCAAAGGAAUUGACGGGG